rnacentral:lncRNA from 1 species
CCUCAUUGGAUCAUAUUUUACCCGAGAAAAUAUUUCAACCAAAAUCUGAAAUCUACAACCUAUGGAUUAACCGUCCCACCUAUGAACCAUCAUAGCAUGUACUAGUAAGUCUCUCAAGGGCCCAAAACGUUGGAGCUCCAAACCAGCACGACCCGGAUCCACCCAAUCCCACCAAGUUCAUUAAAGGGGUCCAUGAGGUGCCAUUUAUGGAAACUUUGAUAUUAUCUUGGACCAGCAAGUUUAUCAUCAAAGAUCCAACGGCUCUAUAGCCUUUUCAAGCAUUAAAGUCACGUGAUCAAUUCAGAGCCCUUGAUUUAUCCCGCAGAUAUUAUUCAAACACAACUUGCCUUCAACGGAGUCGAAUGUAUCUAGACGACGCUUUCUUCACAUUGGUUCUUUCCGUUGCCCACAAGAUUCGUCCUCCUCCUAAACCUCUCUACCAGCUGGAAGAUUUGAGUUAUCAAGAGCAUAAAGGCGUGGUUAGACUUUCCAAAAUCAGCUCAAUCACAUCCCUUACAAUUUGGUCCUUUGACCACCCAAUUUAUCUGUUUUGUUUAAAUUUAAAUUUGAAUUUCUUUCAAUUUAUUUAACGUAGAGAUUAUCUUUUAAGAGCUAUAAAAGGCUCAUUUGUGUCAUUGUAAAAAUCACAAUCUUUUAGAAAAUAUAAACAAUAAGUUUCUCUGUGCAAA